rnacentral:rRNA from 1 species
UGAAUACGAGACGCUAAGGCGUCGAAGUAGUGUAUGUCAUACUUCCAAGAAAAGCUUGCACUGUCAUAAGUAAAAAAUGCCUGUACCAUAACUGACACAGGUGGGUAGGUAGAGUAUACUAAGGGGCGCGAGAUAACUCUCUCUAAGGAACUCGGCAAAAUAACUCCGUAACUUCGGGAGAAGGAGUACUUUAUUCUAUAAGGUUGCAAUAACAAGAUCCAAGCAACUGUUUAUCAAAAACACAGGUCUCCGCUAAGUCGUAAGACGAUGUAUGGGGGCUGACGCCUGCCCAGUGCCAGAAGGUUAAAGAAGUCGGUUAGCAUUAGCGAAGCUGGUAACUGAAGCCCUGGUGAACGGCGGCCAUAACUAUAACGGUCCUAAGGUAGCGAAAUUCCUUGUCGGGUAAGUUCCGACCCGCACGAAAGGCGUAAUGAUUUGGAUACUGUCUCGGAGAGGGGCUCGGUGAAAUAGACUUGUCUGUGAAGAUGCGGACUACCUGCACCAGGACAGAAAGACCCUAUGAAGCUUUACUGUAACUUGAGAUUGAAAUUGGACUUUAUUCGCGCAGUAUAAGUGGGAGGUGUUGAUUAUAAUCUUGCGGGAUUAUUGGAGCCAUCAGUGAGAUACCACUCUUGUAAUGUUAGAUCUCUAACUUUGAAUCAUUAUCUGGUCAAAGGACAGUUUCAGGCGGGCAGUUUGACUGGGGCGGUCGCCUCCCAAACGGUAACGGAGGCGUACAAAGGUUUCCUCUGAACGGGUAGAAAUCGUAUCUAGAGUGUAAAGGCAUAAGGAAGCUUGACUGUGAGACCUACAAGUCGAACAGGGACGAAAGUCGGUCUUAGUGAUCUGACGGUACUGAGUGGAAAGGCCGUCACUCAACGGAUAAAAGUUACUCUAGGAUAACAGGCUGAUCUCCCCCAAGAGUUCACAUCGACGGGGAGGUUUGGCACCUCGAUGUCGGCUCAUCGCAUCCUGGGGCGGUAGUACGUCCCAAGGGUUGGGCUGUUCGCCCAUGAAAGCGGUACGCGAGCUGGGUUCAGAACGUCGUGAGACAGUUCGGUCCAUAUCCGGUGUAGGCGUUAGAAUAUUGAGAGGAGCCUUCUUUAGUACGAGAGGACCGAGAAGGACAUACCUCUGGUGUACCAGUUAUCGUGCCAACGGUAAACGCUGGGUAGCUAUGUAUGGAGUGGAUAACCGCUGAAAGCAUCUAAGUGGGAAGCCCACCUCAAGAUAAG